rnacentral:tRNA from 1 species
GGGGAUGUAGCUCAGUGGUAGAGCACAUGCCUUGCAUGUGUGAAACUCUGGGUUCAGUUUCUAGCACUCCCC